GGGCCAGUAGCUCAAUUGGUUAGAGCAUCAAGCUUAUACCUUGACGGUUGAUGGUUCGAGUCCAUCCUGGCCCA
rfam:Candidatus Gottesmanbacteria bacterium RIFCSPLOWO2_01_FTLL_48_11 rifcsplowo2_01_scaffold_15163, whole genome shotgun sequence.